AGUGGGAUAGCUGGGUCAGAGGUGGUUCCAUUCCAAGUUUUCUGAGGAAUCUCCAUACUGCUUUCUAUAAUGGUUGCACCUGUUUGCAUUCACACUAGCAAU
rnacentral:pre_miRNA from 1 species